GAACCCAGCCUUCCCUCCGAUACUGGUGACAGUUACUCCUCUUGAUUAGCUCAGGAACCUAAAGCCCGCUUCAAUGGGAGGUACCAUGAGCUUCAAAUAAUGCACAGGAUGCUGGAGGAAGUUAUCUCCUCCUCCCACAGACUAAGAGAAGUGUUUUGAGAAAUAGAGGAGGAAAUAAAUACAGUGAGAAAGAUCCAAAGUGGAUUUUGUUACUUGAAUUUGAAACCAAAAUGAUGGGAUUGCCCUUGAAGAUCCAUACGGGUUUAGGUUUCAGGCUUUCUACUUCCACAUUCUAGAAGGAUACAAAAGAGGGAAAAAAAGCACUCAAAGCAUCUUUAACUUCCUUUAAACAAUGAUUUUUGUUUGUGAGUACUGAAUAAGUGUAGCUGCAAUUUUUUGAGGGGUGAAAGAGGGGGAUGAGAUAAGAACAUCAAAGCUCACACACACAUUUGUUUCCUGUCAAAUGCGCAAUUUCCCAAUGUGUUAGAAAAAAUUAAUUUCUAGACCUGCUGAAAAUUACAACAGAGAAGUAACAUAAGAAACUCAUUAAUUACAGUUUUAAAGGGAUGAGGGUCAGUGUUGACAGGCUCCAGAUUAACAUCCCCUGAAUUAUUGUUUGCAAGUUCUC